rfam:Fervidicola ferrireducens strain Y170 AN618_contig000072, whole genome shotgun sequence.
CCGGAGGGGAUAAGCACUGAAGGCAUCUAAGUGCGAAGCCCACCCCAAGAUAAGGUAUCCCACCCUGAGAAGGGGGUAAGACACCUGGGAGACGACCCGGUAGAUAGGCCGGGGGUGUAAGGGUCGUAAGGCCUUGAGCCGACCGGUACUAAUCAGUCGAGGGCUUGACCAA